GAAUCCCGUCUUUGGCACGGAAACCCCAGGGCUUUUGUGAUGCGCUCUCGAAGAGUCGAGUUGUUUGGGAAUGCAGCUCAAAAUGGGUGGUGAACUCCAUCUAAAGCUAAAUAUUGGCGAGAGACCGAUAGCGAACAAGUACCGUGAGGGAAAGAUGAAAAGCACUUUGGAAAGAGAGUGAAACAGUACGUGAAAUUGUUGAAAGGGAAACGCUUGAAGUCAGUCGCGUCGACCGAGACUCAGCCUUGCCCUUGGCUUGGUGUACUUCUCGGCUGACGGGUCAGCAUCAAUUUUGCCCCUUGGAUAAUGGCGAGGGAAAUGUGACACCUUUACGGUGUGUUAUAGUCUCUUGUCGCAUGCAAGGGUUGGGAUUGAGGAACUCAGCACGCACCUUUGGGUGUCGGGGCUUUGCCCACGAUACGUGCUUAGGAUGUUGGCGUAAUGGCUUUAAACGACCCGUCUUGAAACACGGACCAAGGAGUCUAACAUGCCUGCGAGUGUUCGGGUGGAAAACUCGUGCGCGCAAUGAAAGUGAAAGUUGGGACCUCUGUCGUGGAGGGCACCGACGCCCGGACCAGACCUUCUGUGACGGCUCUGCGGUAAAGCAUGUAUGUUAGGACCCGAAAGAUGGUGAACUAUGCCUGAAUAGGGUGAAGCCAGAGGAAACUCUGGUGGAGGCUCGUAGCGAUUCUGACGUGCAAAUCGAUCGUCAAAUUUGGGUAUAGGGGCGAAAGACUAAUCGAACCAUCUAGUAGCUGGUUCCUGCC
rnacentral:rRNA from 1 species